UGGGGCGUGGUCGAAUUGGCAAGACGUCUGACUCUGGAUCAGAAGGCUGGAGGUUCGAGCCCUCCCGCCCCAG
rnacentral:tRNA from 1 species